rnacentral:rRNA from 1 species
AGGGUUUGAUUAUGGCUCAGGAUGAACGCUGGCGGCGUGCUUAACACAUGCAAGUCGAACGGGAUCGGCUGGAGCUUGCUCCGGCCGUGAGAGUGGCGAACGGGUGAGUAAUGCGUGACCGACCUGCCCCAUACACCGGAAUAGCUCCUGGAAACGGGUGGUAAUGCCGGAUGCUCCAGUUGACCGCAUGGUCCUCUGGGAAAGCUUUUGCGGUAUGGGAUGGGGUCGCGUCCUAUCAGCUUGAUGGCGGGGUAACGGCCCACCAUGGCUUCGACGGGUAGCCGGCCUGAGAGGGCGACCGGCCACAUUGGGACUGAGAUACGGCCCAG